GCCAUUGUGGCUCAGUGGUUAGAGUGUUGGCCCACUGCCCCAAGGGUCGUGGGUUCGAUUCCCGGUCAAGGGCA